rnacentral:rRNA from 1 species
GACGAACGCUGGCGGCGUGCCUAAUACAUGCAAGUUGAGCGAUGAAGAUUGGUGCUUGCACCAAUUUGAAGUGCAGCGCACGGGUGAGUAACGCGUGGGGAAUCUGCCUUUGAGCGGGGGACAACAUUUGGACACGAGUGCUUAUACCGCAUAACAACUUUCUACAUAAGUUUUAAGUUUGAAAGAUGCCAUUGCAUCACUCAAAGAUGAUCCCGCGUUGUAUUAGCUAGUUGGUGAGGUAAAGGCUCACCAAGGCGAUGAUACAUAGCCGACCUGAGAGGGUGAUCGGCCACAUUGGGACUGAGACACGGCCCAAAAGGCUACGGGAGGCAGCAGUAGGGAAUCGUCGGCAAUGGACGAAAGUCUGACCGAGCAACGCCGCGGGAGUAAAGAAGGUUUUCGGAUCGUAAAACUCUGUUGUUGGAGAAGAACGUUGGUGAGAGUGGAAAGCUCAGCAAGUGACGGUAACUACCCAGAAAGCGACGGCUAACUACGUG